UACGUGAAACCGUUCAGGGGUAAACCUGAGAAACCCGAAAGGUCGAAAGGGGAAAUUCAGCGCGUCUCAGCCGCGGCGCUGGACGGUCGAGCGACGGACGGCGUCCGCGUCGUCUGCGCCUUCCGUUCUCCGAACCGUGGUCGAACGUGUGCACUUUUCCCCCAGUAGGACGUCGCGAUCCGUUGGGUGUCGGUCUAAGGGCCGCGGUGGAGUCCGUCUGGACGGCUUGCCGAUCCGGACGAACCCGUGGUUCCCGGCCGGCUCGCUCGACGGUAUACAUAUGGCGCGAGGCCGCUACUCAGUUAGCGUUCGACCCGUGGCAAGCGCGCUCGUCGUGUCGGUGAUCGGACCUGGUCCGGUCCCGGCCCCGGGUGGCUGUUCGCUGCGGUGUUCUCGGACAGACCUCGAUGAAACGCCAAUCAGCGACGCUAUAGCUUUGGGUACUUUCAGGACCCGUCUUGAAACACGGACCAAGGAGUCUAGCAUGUGCGCGAGUCAUUGGGACAUGACUAAACCUAAAGGCGCAAUGAAAGUGAAGGUCCGCCUUGCGCGGACCGAGGGAGGAUGGGCGGUCGUUACGGCUGCCGCCCCGCACUCCCGGGGCGUCUCAUUCUCAUUGCGAGAAGAGGCGCACCAAGAGCGUACACGCUGGGACCCGAAAGAUGGUGAACUAUGCCUGGUCAGGACGAAGUCAGGGGAAACCCUGAUGGAGGUCCGUAGCGAUUCUGACGUGCAAAUCGAUCGUCGGAACUGGGUAUAGGGGCGAAAGACUAAUCGAACCAUC
rnacentral:rRNA from 1 species